UGUGGGAAAUGAUAAAAAGAUAAAUACAGGUAAGCAAAAGCUCCAAUGGGGUUAGCUAUACUGAAUUAUUUUGCAUGUCAAUCUGAUCCCAAG